ensembl:lncRNA
AAAGACACAAGCAUGACUGCUCCUGUGAGCUGACUGACUGGUAUUAAAGUGUUUUAAAUCUGCAGUACUGAAAUUUGCUGUUCUGUGUUGAGGCUUUGAUUUUGCUCAGUUGCUCCAUAUACAUCAAUUAGUUAUGGACUCUUCUGGCGGAGAGCGGGCGCUGUGGAGGAUCUGUGGCGGUUGCGGAGUGGGCAGUCUCCGCUGUGGAGUCUCUGUGGCGGGUCCGGAGUGGGCGGUCUCCGCUAUGGAGUCUCUGUGGCGGGUCCGGAAUGGCGGGUUUUUCGUGAGGCGCCGCUUCAGUUUAGACUUUCUUUCACUUUAAACAGAUUUAGGGAUUAAACUCAGAUUUUCGGCGCGCUAACAGGGAUGGACCUGCGGGACCCGAGGAAACAGCCGGAGCGCCGCCGCUUCCAGAGAAAGUUAAGGUCUUAAUUCUGAGAAAGUUAACAUCCACCAACCUGUGUUCUCCUGUAUCAUGAGGAGGUCUGGGGCUUCAGUCCCACCUCGUCUCCGACGACAAAAACCUGAUCAAAGCGACGUCAAAACUUCUCCCGAAAAAGAUGUGAGAACUAAAACUAGCAGACGGAUGAGGAAAGUGAAGGCGGGUCCACUGAGAAAUAAAUUCAAUCCGGACUCGUUCUGCUCGGACAGUGAGGGUUCUGGAGUGAGUGAUGGCGUGGACCGGGCCGUGACCUCGCCCGUACCUGUGCUUGUUGAUCUCACUGGUGAACCUGAACGUCUGGUUGAGGUUGGUGGAGCUCAGAAUCAGCAGGAUGUUGUUCUGCUCUCGUCUGGUGAGGAGGGUCAGAUCAGACGGUUGGAGUUGGUGAAGUUUGGGCGGAGCUCGGAGGAUCCGGUGGGUAAAGUUGUCUUGCCGCCGCAGUCUCUGGCAGAAGACACACUGAAAACAAUCCGACUGAAAAACGAAGCUUCAGGACGAAACCCGCUCUCUGAUAGUAUCGGUACGAUUCUGAUUGAGAGGUGGGACAGUCAGUCGGACGAGGCGAGCGCUGAGGGAUCGGUGGUGUCGGGUCCCGGCUCCCCUCACAGUGUCCUAAGCUCACUGAGGUGCAGAGACUGCAGGACACUCUUCACCAAAAUCAGGAGACAAAGACCUCCGAAAACUAGGAAACGGGACUAUGAUCCAGCCUCUUUAUCAUGUGAUGAAUGGCUGCUUAUUAAGACUUGGCAUCCAAAGCGACGGAGGCAAGAGAGAGGAAAGUUGUGGACGCAUCUGAAGCGGAUCAGAAAGCUGGUGCUGGAGCUUUCGGGUUGUGCCAUGAAAAACACAGUCACCUGUUCUAGACCUCACGUCUUCCUGCAGAGGAAUUUGCGUCGCUGCAGGAGAAUGACCUCUGACAGCAAAGCCAAGCCACGACAGCGCCGCCGACCCAGGAAGAAAAUCCUGUGGCCUCCUCUGGGUUCCAGAAGAAGAGUAAAGAGAAAAACGUUUGAAAGAGAUGAUUCCUUAGAUCAGCUUUUCCCUUUAGACCUCACCGCCUCCAACAACGCCCGCCAGGACCAGCCUGCGAGCCGCGAUGAUCGCUCUGAACCACAAGAGCAGGAGAGAGUUCUUAAACACGUCGUCCGGGACUUUACCGGCGUUCCGGACCUACCGGAGGGAACACGCAGGGAACUGAGAUUUGAGGAUCUGCUCAGUGCCCUGCCGAUAGAGUCACAGAAACCACAGCAGGGGAUCCUACAGAGAAACAGAGGAAGAAGAAAAACCAAUACAAGUCAAACAGAUCUCCCAGCAAAUGAACUGGAUUAUUCCAGAGCAAAAAAUCUGCUGUGUGGGGAUUCAGACGAGUUCAGAACCCCUACAGAUCUCUCCACUUUGGAGUCGAAGGUUGUCAGAAAGAGUCACUCAUCAUCGUUCUUUUCGUCUGGAAACUCGUUCAGUGCGGAACAGCGGGGCAGCUUCAGGUCCAUGUUAGCGGCGGUGGAGAAGAGUCACAACCGGAUUAUUAAAGAAUCUCACAGUUGAGGCUCUCGCCCGGUUCUGGUUUUGGUUCUGUUUGUUUAAGGUUGUUGAGUUUCUCUGUUCUGUUUUAGGCUGGAGAAAUAUAGGCUGUUACCUACACGUUCACGUUUAAACGAUAGGGGGCAGUGCAGCUCUCAGCAGCAUCAAAUACACAUCAAUCAAAUACACAGGACGUUUAAUGGAAGAUUAAAAGCUGUAAGAACGGUAUUGCCGCGCUGGUAAGGGGCCGCGUCUGUUAUGUUUAUGAUGCAGCCGGUUGACUGCAUUUAUACGCAGCCAAACAUCAAGUUUUUCUCCAGCUUUAGAGCUUAAUAGUUAGAAACUGGCAUCUAAUUGGUGCACUCUCUUAGUGAAACAUUUAAAAGCCUGAAAAAAGAUCUUCUGAUCAAACAGUUUGCUGUUUGGUGUGAUUUUGAAUACCUACCUGUUCAGGUGAUUAGACCUGGAUAGUUGACAAAUCGUUUUUCAUAUUUCCGGUCCUUUAUUGUUAUUGUAUAGUGUUUUUUUUUUGUUUUUUUGUUAGUUAAAUUAUUAGCAUAGACUUAAUAACUUAAAAAGAGGCCAAGAAGUAACCACACUGCUGUUUUUUUGUUCUGUUGCUGAAACGUUCUCUCUUACUCAGGAGUAAAUUUUCAGAGUAAAUAAAUGUAUAAAGUGUAAUUAACA